UUUAAGUUAAAAUUUGUUUCUGUUUCACCUUAUUUUUUAUUUUGAAGAAUUUCAAACCUACAGAAAAUUAUAAGAAUGAGAAACAUACUCUAAACAUAUAUUUGCCAAUUUUUAAGAUUAACUUGAAUUCUUUCCUCUUGCUCUCUAAUUAUAUUACUAUUCUUCUCCUUAUCCUCCUUAUUCUUUGCCAUUUAGAGUAAGUAAAAGAAGUCAUAACCCUUCACCCCUAAAAUGUAAUAAGCAUCUAUUGUCUAAGAACAAGGGUAUUCUCUUGCCUAAUCACAGAAUGAUUAUAAAAUUUUAGAAAUCUAAUAUUAAAUAUAUAAUUAUAUAAUUUGUAGUAUAUUCAACUUUGGUCAUUCUCCUCAAUAAUGUCUUUUAUAGUGACUUUUUUGUGUAGCUAAGGAUCCAAUCCAGGUUUGUGCAUUACAGUUUACUGAACUGAUGUUUUGAUCUCCUUUAAACAGCUCCUAGGUGCUCAAUACGUCAUAUCAUUUUCUGCUACCUCAUAAACCUUAACCAAUCAUUUUAGCAUCUAUUAAAAAAUUCAUGAAUCUGUUACUGCUAUGGCAGAAGGUAAGCUCUUAAUAUAUUCAAAGAAUAUCAUAUAUGUAUGCACAUGUAUGUGCUAUGUGAUUUACUUAUUUUGGAUCUAAUCUUACAAUAGCUGUAAAAUGAUCUCCAUUAUCUAAGUGAAAAUGUAUCCUCCUGAAUUUAAAUCACUAUUCCAGGAUUAUUUAGUUCUGUAAAUUAUAGAGCUGUGAAUUGAACCCAUAGCACUAUAUCAUCCUGCCUCUCUGGUAGGCAUUGAGAUAUAUAUAUAUAUAUAUAUAUAUAUAUAUAUAUAUAUAUAUAUAUAUAUAUAUAUAUAUAUAUAUAUAUAUGACCCUGUUAGUGCUUUGGAAACAAUGUUGAUUGACUUUUUCUUAGUUUGAGUCAGUGAUGUUGCCUUUGGGCUUUUUUUACUCCUAUUCUUUGUUAUGAUAAUAGAUAUUUAACCAAUUUUAUAAGUGGCUUCUAAACAAGUCCCUCAUUCAGUCCUCUCUGAUUUGAUUAUAGCAUCUAACUCUUCCUAUUUAUAGAAAUGCUGGAGCAACAACUAGCCUAAGCAUAUUCUUUGUUAAGCAUAUUCUUUGCUAGGAAGGAAUAGUCACUUGUAGGUGUCCUUUUUGACAACAAUACUUUCAAGAGUUAGUAUUCUUUUAGUUCCAAAAGUUAUAAACCAACUCCAACUUGAUUUAGGCAAGAAGGAAAACUUAUUGGCUAACAAAGUGAAAAGUCCUGUCGUUAGGCAUGGAUGGAUCUAGGCUAAAACUGUAUCAGUAGGACUUGUUUUUUCUUGCCCUCUUGGUUUUGUUCUCUGAUACAUUGGCCUUAAUUUCAGAAUUGCUCUUUUUACCUAAUGAUUUUAGCAUCCCUAGGUUUAUAUUAUCCUAUGUUUGCAAUCUCAGUAUAAAACAAGCUUUCCACUUCUAAUAGUAGCAACAGAAGUCCCCAAAUUGAACAUCUUUGGGCAGACUUGGAUUAGAUGCUUUUCUAAACCAAUUACCUGGUGUUUCAUAGGAUAGAAUCAGCUUCAUCCAACAAUAUGGAUUGGGAGUGGGGGGGGGAGUGAUUCCCUAAGGCAAAGUGUGAAUUGCUAUUUCCAAAGUGAGAAUGGGUGCUGAGAAUGCAGAAACAAGUUAACAAUGCCUUUGAUAUUUGUUAACCAGGGGACCACAAAUGAUAUGGUCUUUUUUAAUUCUCAUAUAACCCUUGCCUAAGAGGUCCUAAGUUGCAUACAUUUAUCACUGCUUAAUUUCCAAAAAAAGAAUGAUGGGGCUAAGAAUUGUGAACAUGUUGGAAGUAAGAAAAAAAAACACAAGAAAUUAUUGUAGAGAAAUUAAGCAUUAAAAAUAUUUUGACACAUCCAUGUCUCAUGGAAGAGCUUUCAACAUUUUGUCAGUGGUUCAUUUGCAGGUUAUUGACACAUUCUCACAUUUACUCUUGUUUCAUCUUUGAUCUCCUGAUUAACGAGGUAGUGAUGCAAACUUGUUUGAGCCUUUCUCAAUAUUUUCAGUUAUUCUGCUGUUUUACAAAGGAUAUGAGCUGCCAAACACAUAAAGAAGAACUCUCAGAACCGGUAGGUCAAAUAAUCUGUUCUCCAAGUACAUUUGGAUUCUAUUUCUUAUAAUAUAGAAUUUUAUAUUGAGGUAUUGGUGAAUAUAAUACUUGAAAGAAAAUAAUGUUUAAGCAACUAAAAAAAACUGGGUCAUUCAAAUGUGGAGAAGUCACUUGCAUAAUUUUAACAGCUUGAUUCAAGUUAACAAUGCCUUUGAUAUUUGCUAACCACAGGAACCAUGAAUGAUAUGGUCCUCUUAAUUCUCAUAUGACACUUUCCCAAGAGGUCCCAAGUAGCAUACAUUUAUCAUUGUUUAAUUUCCUGGUUUUAAAUGGAUUAUAUUUGGCUUCAUUUGAGUAUCAACCUAGGUACAUGUAUGACUGCACAUACCUUGUGA
rnacentral:lncRNA from 1 species